GAUGAACGCUGGCGGCGUGCCUAAUACAUGCAAGUCGAGCGAACAGACGAGGAGCUUGCUCCUCUGACGUUAGCGGCGGACGGGUGAGUAACACGUGGAUAACCUACCUAUAAGACUGGGAUAACUUCGGGAAACCGGAGCUAAUACCGGAUAAUAUAUUGAACCGCAUGGUUCAAUAGUGAAAGACGGUUUUGCUGUCACUUGUAGAUGGAUCCGCGCCGCAUUAGCUAGUUGGUAAGGUAACGGCUUACCAAGGCAACGAUGCGUAGCCGACCUGAGAGGGUGAUCGGCCACACUGGAACUGAGCCACGGUCCAGACUCCUACGGGAGGCAGCAGUAGGGAAUCUUCCGCAAUGGGCGAAAGCCUGACGGAGCAACGCCGCGUGAGUGAUGAAGGUCUUCGGAUCGUAAAACUCUGUUAUUAGGGAAGAACAAAUGUGUAAGUAACUAUGCACGUCUUGACGGUACCUAAUCAGAAAGCCACGGCUAACUACGUG
rnacentral:rRNA from 1 species